rnacentral:rRNA from 1 species
CAGCAGCCACGGGAAUACGUAGGUGGCAAGCGUUGUCCGGAAUUAUUGGGCGUAAAGGGCUCGCAGGCGGUUUCUUAAGUCUGAUGUGAAAGCCCCCGGCUCAACCGGGGAGGGUCAUUGGAAACUGGGAAACUUGAGUGCAGAAGAGGAGAGUGGAGUUCCACGUGUAGCGGUGAAAUGCGUAGAGAUGUGGAGGAACACCAGUGGCGAAGGCGACUCUCUGGUCUGUAACUGACGCUGAGGAGCGAAAGCGUGGGGAGCGAACAGGAUUAGAUACCCCCGUAGUCCCUGUCUCUUAUAC